rnacentral:snRNA from 1 species
GGAUGUGAGGGCGAUCUGGCUGAGACGUGUGUCACCCCGUUGAUCACCAGGAUUGAUUGGGCUGAUCUGGCUCGCUAGGCGGGUGUCCCCUUCCUCCCUCACCGCUCCAUGUGCGUCUGACACCUCCAUUCAUUGUUGGCAAUAUCUGUUCAGGGGCCGACCACAUGGUGAUCCCCUGGUCAUUCCCAGGGGUCUGCUGAUAGGACUCUGGGAAUUCAGUCUGGAGUUUGAGAGAGUUGGCCUCUCAGAAAGGGGCAAGAAGGGAUAGCAAGGCCUGCUUGGAGAAGGGACUCUAACAGGCUUUCCCGGUCCACAGGAGAAGGCAUCAAGAAGUUCUGCAGAAACCUGUCCUCCCUCGGGGCUCUGCCUAGGAUGCUGCCUGUGGGA